ensembl:lncRNA
GUGAGUGACUGCGGGAGGGGGCGGCUGACAGCCAGGCGGGGGCGGGGGCCGAGGCUGCGGGGGCGGCUCCGGAGGGCGGCCCCGGGCUCAGCUCCACCCACCCCCCCUGCUCCCGGAGGCGGGGGCUGAGCCGAGGUGCCUCCUUCCUGGGGACCCCCUGAGUGCAGAGUCAGGCCCCCUGCGAGUGCUGGCGGGGCGCAGAGGUCUCUUCCCUCCGCCUCCCGCGCCUCCUGCUGUCGGCCGUGGGGGGCUCACCCAGCAUCCCGGCCCCAGAUUGCGCGAGGGGCGACAGAGGCCCCACGCGGUCCUGGGUGCAUAAAGAGCGGGGCAGCUGGGUUCACACGCGAGGCUUUGCCUGCCUCCUUCACCUUCUGCCUCCUUCAUCUGCUCUUCUUCCCUUGCUCUCUGACUUUCCUUCAGAUCCCCUUGUCGAACUCCUGUGGCUGGCGUUUUUAGCUCUGUCUUCGGUGUCGGAGAGUUGGGCUGUGUUUUCUUUUGAGAAGCCCGUCUUUUGCUUUGUGAAUAGGAGAGGUGCAAGCGAGUGGGCAACUCUUAAAAUUUACUUCCAUCUUUCCCGAAGAAACAUGAGGUUUCUGGGCUUUUGUUCAGGUUUAACAGUUUGAUUAUUGAGUUCUCCCUUGCUCUCUUUUCCACCCCACUUGUUAACGUCGGGAUAUGGGCUUUGAGUUUAUUAACUGUAUUUGGAAAUAAGAUCCUGCAUAAACCUAAGUGCCAAGUCAUAAUCUUUGGAUAACAUUCAACUAUUAAGUAAAAUACAGUGAAUUAAGACCACACCAAGCAAGACAGUUGUGGCAAACUUUACAGUCCAAGAAGACGGUUGCUUACUUAUGAACAGUGUACGCAUUUCUUUUUUUUUUUUUGGUACCGGGGAUCGAACUUGGGACCUUGCUCUUGCGAGGCAGGCGCCGGAAGCACUGAGCUAAAUCCCCGGCCCGAGUGUACACAUUUCUUGAGUUAAUCUUCUGGUGAAUAAUGGAUCCUGAAGUAUAUUUCCACAUUGGCUUUAGGCGAACAGACCUGCUUUUUGAAGGAUCAACAGGCUAUUAUACUCUGAAUCACUUUGAUGACUUUUUCCUUUUGCACAGGACUUACGUUUAAUGUAGUUCAGAGUUGCUGUAUGGGAUAUACGUGUUCCCCCUUAUUUGAAAGUGUAUGUUACAAAAUAAAGAAGGUUGCGCUAAAUUACAUUAAAAAACCAAGAGUAGAAAGUUUCCAGGUAGUACAAGAAUGCAUAAUCUCACAUUUUGCUCUAGAGUUAGCAAUAUGACUUUUUUAUUUACAUUGGUAUUAGGUAGUUCAGGUAUUUAAGAGAAGUUUUGAAUGCAGCCUAGAACAUUCCUCAGUUCAAAAGCACUGCAUUGAAGGGAUGCAAAGACAAUUUAGGAUUGAAAUAGUUAUUUUCUAGGUUAGCUGUCUGUGGAACAUCACAGAGGUAAAAUUUUUCUUUUCUUUUUUUUUUUUGAUGCUCUGAAUCGAACUCGACCUUGUGCUUGCAAGGCAGGCGGUGGAACCACUGAGCUAAAUCCCCAGCCCUUGAAAUUCUAAAGUUGCAGACUGUAUAGUCAGUGAGUCAAUUAUGAAGAGAAAUUAAUGAGUUAUUUUUCUAUUUUCAGAGUGUAGCCUGUCAACAAGGAAAAGGAAACAAAACUGAGACUGUUUAAAUCAGGUUAGAAGAUAAGCUUCAAUAGUUAGAGGAAAACAUAACCUAUAGACCAUCUUCUGGCAGAAGAUGAUAGAUUUGGAUCAGAAAGCGGGAGGUGUUGGAAGCCAGGAAUCAAAAGUGAAGAAAUUCUGCAAACCCUUGGGUGAAAAAGGUUCCUAUUACUGUAACCAUGCCAGAAAUGACAGAGAAUGAGACGCCUACAAAAAAGCAGCACAG